rnacentral:rRNA from 1 species
GAUGAAUGCUGGCGGCGUGCCUAACACAUGCAAGUCGAGCGGCAGCGCGGAGAGUUUACUCUCUGGCGGCGAGCGGCGGACGGCUGAGUAACGCGUGGGAACGUGCCCCAAAGUGAGGAAUAACUGCCCGAAAAGGUGGCUAAUGCCGCAUAUGAUCUUCGGAUUAAAGGAUUUAUCCGCUUUGGGAGCGGCCCGCGUCGGAUUAGGUUGUUGGUGAGGUAAUGGCUCACCAAGCCGACGAUCCGUAGCUGGUCUGAGAGGAUGAUCAGCCAGACUGGGACUGAGACACGGCCCAGACUCCUACGGGAGGCAGCAGUGAGGAAUCUUCCACAAUGGGCGAAAGCCUGAUGGAGCAACGCCGCGUGCAGGAUGAAGGCCUUCGGGUUGUAAACUGCUUUUAUAAGUGAAGAAUAUGACGGUAACUUAUGAAUAAGCACCGGCUAACUACGUGCCAGCAGCCGCCGUAAUAC